GCCAGCGAUAAUUCGAUGGUUUUGUGAUGUCAUGUUGGUGAACAUGUUAACGUAUCCAACUUCACACUCUAUGAAUGGAUGAAUGAAAGAACGAAUGCCGCUCCUUUCUAACUAUAUAGAAAAGAUAGAGUAGGAAAUAACAAAAAUGUCAAAAAUAACACUGCAAAAUUUAAGUGUCCUAGAACAGUGCUUAAAGCUGAAUUAACAUGAUGAUUUUAAAUUUGUAUUGUUUAUUUCUUGUCAUUGCGACUUUGACGCAGCUGUUGUCAUGACAACAGGUAACAAAACAUGUUUUGUUGAAGGAUUAUUGAUGAAUAAUUUUCCACAAAAAAUUGGAUUUUAACCACGAUAGGAAAAUGAGAACCUGCGCCUAUCCGUUUAAACCGAUUGUAGAAUUUAUGGAAAGAUAUGGCGAUCUGAGUAUGCCCACUGAAGGACCCCAAGAAAGAGCCAACAAUAGUCAACGGUGGGUGGAACUAACGGACACGCGAACGUGAAAUGCUGAUGCCACCGGCGACACGAAAACUACUGAGAAAUUGAGAAAAGUGUGGAGUGACUUUAAACAGCAAGAAGAAGGCACCUCGCAUACACAGAGCUGCCAAGGGAACACUGGACUGGUGGCGGUCCAGGUUCUUCCCUGAAGCCAAAGGAUUUAGAGCAGAGUGCUUGUAAAUAACUACUUGUAAAUUAAAUCCAUAAUAAAGACCUAGGGUAACUGGAUGGAUAUACCUACCUUAUUAUUGUAAAAGAUAUUAUAACUAAUUAAAUACA